CAAAUUAUUUCUGUCAGCCAAAUAUUUUCAAUUGUCGUUUGCUUUAAAAUGUUUUCGAAUUCUGAAAAAACAGACAUGCUCUUUAUAUUAUUAUUAUUAUUGAUUAGUUGAUCAACAGGCGUUUAGCCCAUUUAUAGAUCAACAAACAGAUGGAAAAAUACAUGAAAAAGUACCUACAAUUUGAACAGUUGUCCGACUAAUCAACAGCUAUAAUUACUGCUACCCCCUAAAGAUGUUGAAAGCUAGCGGAAGGUCUACCAAAGCAAAGUUGACCCAGAAUCGAUGGACAGUCAAAUGAUUUUCUCAAAAAAGAAAAGUGAGGCUUUAUCACGUCUCGCUUUCAAGUCAACGGAAUUAAAUUUUUGUAAAAGAUCCGAAUAAGGUGUCCCUCUCACAGGAUACUUACCAUCAACCUUGAACGCCAAAAAUUUUAGAAAACGCCUCUGGAUUUUUUAGAGAGCUAAAGUGUGGCUUUGAGCAGAAGGGACCCACACGAUGCUUGCAUAUUCCAACUUCGACCUCACGAAAGCAAAGUAUAAGGCUUUGAGAGUGUCUAUGUUCUUGAAACAACCACUCGAUCGAAUAAUAAAACCAAGACACUUAUAAGCUUCCGAGCUAGGUUGCCAAUAUGAUCAGCGAUUACGAAAACAUUUCAGCAACCCAAGUAUUGAAACUCUUAUCAAUGGCGAAAUUAUAUGAAAUAAUAACCUAUUUUAUACCAUUUUGCAACACUUGUCUAACUAAACGCAACGAUUCCAGAUUCGAACAUUUCCAUGUUUAGUUAUGACUCAUGACAAUUCCAAAUCGUACGAAGAUCAUUUCCUGGGUGAAAUGUAGAUUCUGGAAGAACGAAACAAAAGAAGUACCUGCUCUGAUUAACAGUUUUUGAAUUUUGACAAUUUUUGAUUCGUUAAAAUGUAAAUUUUGUGAAAGUAUUGUCGUUGCUAUUUCUGUUGAAACACCACUUGUUGAUUUUGCUUAAAAUUUAGCAAUUGGUAACAGCUUUCGGUUGAUUGAAAACGGCUUUUAGUUAGAAAAUUGUCUGAAUAUGAACGUUGUCAAAAUCGAUUAACAAGUGGUGUUUCAAUAGAAAUGGCAAAGACUAUAAUUGUCUGUGUGUUUUCUGUCAGAGAAAAGGGGGAUCACUGACAAUCGAUUAAUCUCUUAUCCUAUUCAUAUUUUUAAUCAAGAAUAGAAGGAUACUCCUACUAAGGUGGUCGAAAGUUGAAACCAGUGUACAUUGUUAAUAAUAACUAGCCCAACAGAAUAUUUGCAUCUAUUUGCUUCCUUUUGUGUUAAAUGAUCACGUAAAUGUUGAUUUGACUCACUCGUGCCACAAUAAUCCCCUUAUGAAAUACCUGUAAUAAAAUACUAUUUCUAUAGCUGUGUAAUACCUGCAGCAAAUAAAGGUCUGUUUAUUUAGUAUUAUUUAUUAAUGUCACAAUUAUUAUUAUAAGAAAUUGCCACAUAUUUAAAUACUAUAUAUAACCACGCAGCGAUAUGCCAGUUCAGAAGGUAUCUCAAAAGUGCUAGUGCUCCACACAAAACUCAAAAUGCAACCGAUAUUUUUUUGCCUUUUCUUCGGUCUGUUUUUCGCCUCGGUCUCUGCUCGGAGCCAAGAAACUCAUCUGAUGAUUCAAAAUUUGUCAAAACAAGACAUCAUAACAACCGUUGUGACUGGCGUAGACAGUUUCGAUUUUGAGAAAGGGAAUGGUCCAAUACAGAGGUUCCAGAAUCAGGCAAUUUCUGCAGGAAAAUUUGUUGAAAAGAGAAUUGAAGUGAACUAUUACGCAUCGAACUCUCCUUUCACUAUGACUUUUUGGUUUGGCGACAAGUCAAGCACCUGGUUUAGAAUUAACCAGAAGUUUGCCAUCAGCGCCGCAGCGGGUUUUUCAACUGGUGGGAGCCACACGAUUUCAUACUAUAAAACUGGAAAUACUAUUAUUAUAACCGUAACAGAUAAGUAGAUUAUAGUAUAUUACAUACCGAGGCGAAAAUAUUCCAUUCCUGUAGACAGGAAUAGUACUUUUUCGAUGUUUGUAACAUUAUAACAAUCAUAAACAAAAUCCACCUCCGUAAUAUUAUGGUUAUGGUUUAUUUCGGUAAAAUAUUAAUACUUCUUAGGCGCUGCAGACUUGACAUUUUAUUAAAUUAACAGUGACACCCCACAGGUCGGAAAUGGUUUCGUUUCGUCGAAAAAUGUAUCCGCGGAAUUGCUCAUUUUCCAACCUUUAGGGGGUUAGAAACACUAUAAUUACUAACUGAUUGUGAAUAUACACAGUAUUUUGUAGUAGACUAGUAUUGCAAUUAUAUCAUUAUUAUUCAUUAUAAAUCUCAAAUUGUGCUAUACUGCUGUCCCAUAAAGUUGUCAUUACAACAAAAAAAAUUUUUUAAAGAUAAAUAAAACCCUGUUUAUUCAACA